AGGACGGUGGAAUUCUGGGAUGAAGAAGAAGAAUUUGCUACCUGUUUUGGAAGAACUAGCAGAGUGAGGUAACAACGAGGGCACAGUGUCCUGUUUUACAGAUACUUGCUCAGCCACAUUCAUCACUGCUCUGUUCAUAACAGUUGGAAAUUGGAAACAACCUAAAUGCUUUCUCUCUCUGAUUUGUGGAUUCUAGAUCUGAAUCUUAAGAGUGAUCAGAAUAUAGGAUGGAUUGUCCAUGUGGAUGUUGGAUGUUAGCAAAUGCUCAAUACACAAGAAUAACAUAAAGGGGCAGACUGAAGCUGAUAACCCAAUUGCUACAUUACAAGUAAACAUGAGUAAACUCAAGAGACUCAACAAGCCUUUUAUUUCAGGAAGCAACCAAGAGUCUGGAAACCAUGGCAGCAGCAGGAAGUUCCGGCUGUUUUAAAGUCGCGGUUCCGGUGUUCAGGAUGCCAGGGAUGAUGGGAAGCCUGUUCUUGUUUAUCGGUUUGUACGGAACUUCACCCGCGGUAGAGUACGGCCUGAGAAUUUUGUUCCAGCACCGGUGUGAGGAAAACAUCUGAGCCCAUGAAUUGCCAGACCCUGGAUACCUGAGACACAUCCACUUGCUUCUCAGAUUGGACAUCUGUGGGCUUCCCUUUGCUAUGACGU
ensembl:processed_transcript 5530601H04Rik RIKEN cDNA 5530601H04 gene